UACGUAGGGGGCUAGGCGUUGUCCGGAAUUACUGGGCGUAAAGGGCUCGUAGGCGGCCAACUAAGUCAGGCGUGAAAUCCCUCGGCUUAACCGGGGAACUGCGUCUGAUACUGGAUGGCUUGAGUUUGGGAGAGGGAUGCGGAAUUCCAGGUGUAGCGGUGAAAUGCGUAGAUAUCUGGAGGAACACCGGUGGCGAAGGCGGCAUCCUGGACCAACACUGACGCUGAGUGAGCGAAAGCCAGGGGAGCAAACGGG
rnacentral:rRNA from 1 species